CAGCCUUAAAAUCCUGCAGCCUCCUCCAUGAUUUGUAUGUUGAGAGAAAGGUAAUUUCCAAAAUGCUGAUAUGGAAAAGCACUUUUAUGCUUAUGCCCUGCUUCCAGGACUCAGCCAGGCAACUGGAGACCAGAGCACACGUAGGAUAACAGAGCUAAUGAGUGUCGACGUCAACAGCAAUAAGCAUUCCACCUAGGCCGGAACCCAGAGAUCACAUCACCAUCCCAUGCUUAAGUUUGAGCAUCAAGCCUGCACUCCCCAAGUGCCUUUGGAUAAGCACAUUGGCAUCCAAUGGCUAGCCCCAGAACUCGGUAAGUUUCCCCAGGCCCUUGUCCCUUCCUGAUUCUGGCUUUCUCAGCCAAAGCAUGUUAUAAGAACUUCCAGAAUAACUGUACAGACUAAACACUGCUUACCAAAAUUACCAUACAUCAGGAAUAUUCAGCCAAAAAAAAAACGUGUAACAUUUCUCAGUCAUUCCACAUCUAAACAGAAAAUAAAAUCUUGUAGAG
rnacentral:lncRNA from 1 species